GACGAACGCUGGCGGCGUGCCUAAUACAUGCAAGUCGAACGCUUCUUUCCUCCCGAGUGCUUGCACUCAAUUGGAAAGAGGAGUGGCGGACGGGUGAGUAACACGUGGGUAACCUACCCAUCAGAGGGGGAUAACACUUGGAAACAGGUGCUAAUACCGCAUAACAGUUUAUGCCGCAUGGCAUAAGAGUGAAAGGCGCUUUCGGGUGUCGCUGAUGGAUGGACCCGCGGUGCAUUAGCUAGUUGGUGAGGUAACGGCUCACCAAGGCCACGAUGCAUAGCCGACCUGAGAGGGUGAUCGGCCAGACUGGGACUGAGACACGGCCCAGACUCCUACGGGAGGCAGCAGUAGGGAAUCUGCGGCAAUGGACGAAAGUCUGACCGAGCAACGCCGCGUGAGUGAAGAAGGUUUUCGGAUCGUAAAACUCUGUUGUUAGAGAAGAACAAGGACGUUAGUAACUGAACGUCCCCUGACGGUAUCUAACCAGAAAGCCACGGCUAACUACGUG
rnacentral:rRNA from 1 species